rnacentral:lncRNA from 1 species
UUUAAACUCACUGGCUCUGGAAUCAGAGCAUUUGGAUUCAGUUACAGCCACUACUGAGGAAGCCUGUUACUCUCUCCAUGCUUUGGGUUCCUCAUUUAUAAAAUGAGAUAAUCCUGGUAUAUCAUUAAAAAGCUGGGAGACAUGACUGGAAUAAUAACUGACCUUUAGCGGGUGGCUACUUUCCUCAAGCAUGGUUCUAACUGCUCAGAUUCUCAGACAGUUCCCCUUCAAAAUAGUAAUUCUCAAUCAAGGAUCCCAUAUUUUGCAGCUGGAUCCAGUAUCGUUUGUCUACAGAUAUUUUUCUAAGAACACACCUACAGCGUUUACAUUCACAAAGAGGUCUGAAUCUCAAGAACAGGGUUGCUGCCGGCACUUAAUGCACACCCAACAAAUGACUGUGACAAAAUAUCUGAGGAUCAGUACUCAAUGUAACUGCGACAGAAAGCCUUCCAGG